GACGAACGCUGGCGGCGUGCUUAACACAUGCAAGUCGAACGGGGAUUACCGAGCGGAAGGCUUCGGCUGGAAGGUUGGUAAUUCUAGUGGCGGACGGGUGAGUAACGCGUGAACAAUCUGUCCCAGACAGGGGAAUAACACUUGGAAACAGGUGCUAAUACCGCAUGAGACCACGGGGUCGCAUGGCCCAGGGGUAAAAGGAGCAAUCCGGUUUGGGGUGAGUUCGCGUCCGAUUAGAUAGUUGGUGAGGUAACGGCCCACCAAGUCGACGAUCGGUAGCCGAUCUGAGAGGAUGACCGGCCACAUUGGAACUGAGAGACGGUCCAAACUCC
rnacentral:rRNA from 1 species